AACUCAGGUCAGAAAGCAGG
rnacentral:misc_RNA from 1 species